GUAGGAUUACCCGCUGAACUUAAGCAUAUCA
rnacentral:rRNA from 1 species